CCGUGAGUCCCGAGCCGUCACCCUGAGCACGGCGAGGCGCCCUGGAUGGGCUGAGGCACUUCCCCAGCGCCUCCUGCCUGGCCGCCGGGAGCGGGUUUCGAGAGGACUGGAAAACAGACCCGGGGCCGGACUCUCAAGGAAUGCUCCUGGUCAGAUGGAGCCUUGGCAUUCCCUCUCUGCCUCAGAACCAACAGCCUCUGGCAGUCCAUGAGAUGACAUGAAGGCGACAGUUCAGCUGUUGGCCAACAAGACCUGGAUCUAGCUCCACAAAAGGCACCAUGCAUCACCCACCUAGAUCUUCCCUUGCUCAGGCCGGGAGGCCCUGGAGAGGCAGAAGCCUUCCUACAGGGACAGGAGCAUAAAUCAACAACAAAUACAGGAAGAAACUUAGAUCUCAGAGUUCCGGAAACAGCCUGGGAGGUUUGGAGUAGGACAAUCAAUUAACAUUCUAAAGGAAACUAAAGUUCAAAGAGGGCCCCAGCUUCGUCUGUGUGUGCAGCACUUAACUGCAUAUGGUGUGGGGCAAGGGCUGUGCAGACAGAAUCGCAGGUGGGUGGGUCCCAGCUUCCUGGGACUUGCAAAAUGAGAGAGUCGAGCAGAAAUGGCCCAGACAGCAACAUGAGUAACAAUAAAUUACAUCGCUGGAGAAGUCAGUAUGCACCA